rnacentral:rRNA from 1 species
UACAGAGGGUGCAAGCGUUAAUCGGAAUUACUGGGCGUAAAGCGUGCGUAGACGGUUACAUAAGUCGGGUGUGAAAGCCCCGGGCUCAACCUGGGAACUGCAUCUGUGACUGCAUCGCUGGAGUGCGGCAGAGGGGAUGGAAUUCCGCGUGUAGCAGUGAAAUGCGUAGAUAUGCGGAGGAACACCGAUGGCGAAGGCAAUCCCCUGGGCCUGCACUGACGCUCAUGCACGAAAGCGGUGGGGAGCAAACAGG